UCUCUGGUAGUAUAUUGGCUAGUAUGCACUCUGGUCAUAAUUAUGAUGGAACAAAGUUCUCUGCGUGUAAACUGGGUUCGACUCCCAGCCAGGGAA